AUUGAACGCUGGCGGCAUGCCUUACACAUGCAAGUCGAACGGUAACAGGUUAAGCUGACGAGUGGCGAACGGGUGAGUAAUGUAUCGGAACGUGCCCAGUCGUGGGGGAUAACUGCUCGAAAGAGCAGCUAAUACCGCAUACGACCUGAGGGUGAAAGCGGGGGAUCGCAAGACCUCGCGCGAUUGGAGCGGCCGAUAUCAGAUUAGGUAGUUGGUGGGGUAAAAGCCUACCAAGGCGACGACGGCUAGGGGACCUGAGAGGGUGACCCCCCACACUGGGACUGAGACACGGCCCAGACUCCUACGGGAGGCAGCAGUGAGGAAUAUUGCUCAAUGGGCGCAAGCCUGAAGCAGCGACGCCGCGUGGAUGAAGAAGGUUUUCGGACUGUAAAAUCCUUUUCUGUGUGACGAGAGUGGACGGUAGCACAGGAAUAAGUCUCGGCUAACUACGUGCCAGCAGCCGCGGUAAU
rnacentral:rRNA from 1 species